GAUUAAGUUAUUAAGGGCGCACGGUGGAUGCCUUGGCACUAGAAGCCGAUGAAGGACGUUACUAACGACGAUAUGCUUUGGGGAGCUGUAAGUAAGCUUUGAUCCAGAGAUUUCCGAAUGGGGAAACCCAGCAUGAGUUAUGUCAUGUUAUCGAUAUGUGAAUACAUAGCAUAUCAGAAGGCACACCCGGAGAACUGAAACAUCUUAGUACCCGGAGGAAGAGAAAGAAAAUUCGAUUCCCUUAGUAGCGGCGAGCGAAACGGGAAGAGCCCAAACCAACAAGCUUGCUUGUUGGGGUUGUAGGACACUCUAUACGGAGUUACAAAGGACGACAUUAGACGAAUCAUCUGGAAAGAUGAAUCAAAGAAGGUAAUAAUCCUGUAGUCGAAAA
rnacentral:rRNA from 1 species